rnacentral:rRNA from 1 species
GACGAACGCUGGCGGCGUGCCUAAUACAUGCAAGUAGAACGCUGAAGAGAGGAGCUUGCUCUUCUUGGAUGAGUUGAGAACGGGUGAGUAACGCGUAGGUAACCUGCCUGGUAGCGGGGGAUAACUAUGGGAAACGAUAGCUAAUACCGCAUAAAAUUGUGUAUUGCAUGAUGAUUAAGUGAAAGAUGCAACUGCAUCACGACCAGGUGGACCUGCGUUGUAUUAGCUAGUUGGUGAGGUAACGGCGCACCAAGGCGACGAUACAUAGCCGACCUGAGAGGGUGAGCGGCCACCCUGGGACUGAGACACGGCACAGACGCCUACGGGAGGCAGCAGGAGGGAAGCUUCGGCAAGGGGGGGAAAACUGAGCGAGAAACGCCGAGUGAGGGAAGAAGGUUGUCGGAUCGGAAAGCUCGGUUGUAAGAGAAGAACGGGUGUGAGAGUGGAAAGUUCACACUGUGACGGUAUCUUACCAGAAAGGGACGGCUAACUACGUG